ACGACAUGAUGAGAAGAGACAACACAGGCCUAUACACACACCGCAACACACACACACACAGCCUGCCGGAGGAGUUCCGGCUGGCUGUGUGUGUGUGUGGACCCAACCCGAUCCAUCAUCCCUGGGUCUGCUCAGACUGAACCGGACCGCUCUGUGUGUAUGAGCUUGCUGUUGUUGUGAGGACCAUUUCUGGCUUGGACUUCUAACUAGGGGUGCACCGAUUUAUCGGUGCCAAUUACCUUAAUUUUGGGAGAUCGGUGAUCGGCCGAUUUCUACAUGUGAAGCUGAUCUUGUCCACUGAUCUUAUCUAGCUUGGCAAAGGUUUAAGAAUCAACCACUGUCUUCUUUUGCUCUCCGGUGAGGAAGGUUUGACUGACAGACCGGCGCUCCAAGUUAUGUCUGCACAUUUACAAUUAGCAAUAGUGACCACACCGUUGUCCACUCAACAACUUUCUUGUUGUUGAGCAACAUUUCAGACAAGAAAAAUUGGUAUCAGCCAGAAAACUGCAAUUGGUGCACCCCUACUUCUAACCAAAGAGAGGACUCUGUUAGUGAUGCACCGAUCCACUGCUUUCACUUCCGAUAUCUGACGAUUAGUAUCGAUAUCAAUCCAAAACAGUAGAAAUUACUUAAACGUUUCUUUCUUUUUGCAGACAUAAAUGUACAGAAUUAUUAAUUUAUUUCAUGUAUUAAAUACUCCUACAGUUUCACAGAUUUGGUCAAACAUAGAAGAACAACUUUAAUCUGUUCAAUCAGUUCAAUUAGAACCAUUUCAGCCCCAGGUCAUAUCUGCAUGUUUGCAGUAACCAUAGUAACCCCACUGUUGCCAACUCAGCAACUUUCUUGCUAUAUUUAGCGACAUUUCAGACAAAAAAAAUGGUAUCGGCCAAAAUCAGGAUUGGCAGGUCAGGCGUUUUAAAGAUCGAUGAUCGACUAGAAAACUGCAAUCGGCGCAGCCCUAUUGAUAUUAGAUUGAUGCACUUCUGGACUUUAUAUUGAUUUCCAUUCAUUUUAGUAACUGAAUGCCUAACCCAGACAAUUUUCCCUAACAAGAACCAGAACCAGAACUUAACUUACCCAGACUUUUAAAUCAAACCAGUAGAACUGGAAAAGUAGUGAGGACCAGGAAACGUCCUCACUUUCCAUACAUGACCUCACUUUGUUGGUAAAUGUUGUGAAAGUGGUCCUCUAGUCUAGAGCUAGUAGCAAUUACAAGAAAACACACACUUCACUCUGGGAGGUCGGGCAGAACCAGAACCAGAACCAUCUGACUGUGAACCACACAGGAACUAACUGGACCCGCUGUGCACUGAUCCAACCCAUAGAGUAAGCCACUGGUUCUGCUGGUUCUAUUGGGACCGACAGCAGUCAGAACCGACCCGGUAGCGCCUCAGCAGAGGCGGCUAUCACUUUCAGAAUGAACCCAUCAGAACCAGUUCCUGUUUUUCUCUAUUUCUGGUUCUGUGAGUAAAACUGAGAAACCUAAACACGGCCUCUCUCUCACACACAGAGGGAGCCGUUGAACCCCAUCAACAGGUGGGUCCAAAAGGUUCUGGUUCUGACCCGGCUGUAGGAGGGAACUCUGGCUGGGUAUCUGUGGACCUGACCCAGUCCAUCAUCGCUGGAUCUGCUCAGACUGAACCAACCGGACCGCUCUGUGUGUGAGCUUGCUGUUGUUGUGAGAACCAUUCUACCCAGACGGCCCGGUUCUGAUCUGUGAACAGAACCUCUGGAAACUCCAGUCCUCUGAAGAGGAGACAAUUCAUCCACUAGAAUCUGAUCCGUUUAGAGUCCAAAACCAAGACCAGGACCAGUAGCAGAACCAGGACCAGGACCGGAACCAACGGCUCUGCAGCGUGUUUCUCGGCGUGCCGCCGCCGGUCCGGGCUUGUCCUCCAUGUUGCUGAAACCUGCAGCAGAGCAGCAGCUGAAGCUCCGCCUCCUGCUGGAGUCAGAGUCCAAACAGAAGCUCAACUUCCGCCAAACAGAUCAUUAGCCAGAUGAUUCUGAACUCGGCCCGACUGCACAAAGGAUCUUGGGUCUUUCUGGCACCAGGUGGAAAUAUUAGGACUCUGAUCAGUUUCUCUCCGUUUCUGGUUCAGAACUUUAUUGUCCAUCCAGCAGCGAGCAGAACCGGGUUCUGGCGGCUCGGUUCGGCUCCUCUUACCUGCUCUGAAAACUUCUGCUGUCCUACGGGAACCGCCGCGGUCACUCGGAGAACAUCGGAGCCGCUCCUUGGCUUUUCCUCCGGGCGGAACCAGACGGGUCUGGAAAGCUGGACCUGCCAACCGAACCAACACGGAACCGACGGGAAGCUCCAGAACCCCCGUCUUCUGGGAUUACUAACGGGUCAAAAAGUUCCGGGUUGGCAGCAGUCGAGCACUUCACUUUGGGUCGGUCUGGGUGUUAACUGCAGGAUUACGGUGCCGUUUCCGGUUUAGGGUUUUCACAAUAAAAGUGGACUAACUCAGGAUCUAAAUCUGAAUAAAAACAGGAUGACCGGUCCGAUUAUUUUACUGCAAUAGAAACAGACUCACUGAACAAGGCCUGCAUGGUUUGAUUCUCUCAGUUUAUAACAAUAAAGUGCUUUUAAUAUUUCUUCACUCUUUAAUGUUGAAGUUCAAUAAUAAAAUCAGAAAUAAAAAAAUCAGAGAAGCCAAAUACUGCACCCGUUAAGAGUAUUACUACUUCAUCAGAUUUUACUCCACUAAAAGUGAAAACAAAAAGUAUUUGGCAAAAAGGCGACUGAUCAGAGUCAUUACUAAUAUUAUAUUAGUCUUAAAAGUAUUUUUAAGACUAAGACGGGCUUUUGAUUAAAUGAGUUACAUUUAUACAAUAAAUGUAACUCAUUUCUACCGACCUCUGCAUAAAAUGCAUUUAAAUCACUAGAGGUUUAUUAUUAUAUAUUAUAUAUAUUGAUAUGGUAAAAAUGCAACAGAUAUGCGGUUCACAUAAACAUAUUGUGCUGUCCUUAUUAAAAUGUAUAAAGUAGUUUUUGAGGAAAGGAAAAAGAACCAAGUAAUAAAACAUUAUUCUAGUCAUUUAUGCUGAUAUUCCAACGCACAUUUAGAAAGCAGCUUUACUUUGUAAGAAACUUUGACAACAGAUUUAGUUUAUAACGAGCUUGAUCACUGCUGCCCCCUGCUGGUAUUUAUUUAUUUUUUUCUUUUUAAAAAAAUCAAGAAAAAAAUAUAAUCCGAGUUAAAAAAAACGAUGCAAGAGAAGAAAAAGCUUAAUGGUGUUUUCAAUAAUCGGGUUUCCAUAGAAACCGCGCUGCUUGUCCUGACACGGUUCUGAAUGUUUAUAUGAACUUUAUUCCGUCAAUAAAGUAAAACAGUCCAGCUGUUUCAAUGGGAUCAGUUGGUGUAAACGCUUCCGGUUCUGUUCCUGGUCGGAUCCACUCACCGAUACCGCUGAUGAUCAGAACCCGGAUCCAUUACAACCCAGAACUCAGUCAGAACCAGAGUGAGCAGUGGCCAGAACCCGGGUCCGUUCCAACCCAGAACCCGGCCAGAACAGAAGAACAUCUCCAGAAGGAUACUUUCAUCCAGCAGUCCAGGAAAACGGAUCUUCACUGGAGAAUUACCGGAGCC